rnacentral:lncRNA from 1 species
AAAACUGAUGCUUGGAGAUGUGAUCACUGCCCAGGGUCACCCAAUGAUAACAUGCAUGCAUAUGGAACUUGCUGCAUGCCAGCACCAUAGGAGUCCGCUCCCCAUGCUGUCCUCACCACAUUGCUCAUUUCUGAGGCCUGGAUGGUGGGCUUGCAAGGGAAGAUGACGGUUUUCUCCUCAGCUUUGCGGAGUGGCAGCAGAGUCCGUUUGCCCUGGAAAACAAAUGUCCACACAGUUAGGAAGCCCAAGGGCCCUCUGCCCUUUCCUCUCUGCCUUCCUGGAGCAUGAACCCACACAGGGCACACAGCAGCAAGGCAUCCCCGGGCAGUGCCGUGCCCACUCACCAGCUUCUUCCUGCGGUCAUCGAUCUGGCAGAAGUUCUCCUCAUCUAUCCCCAAACAUGGGCUUCCUUGAGGCACAGUCAUUCAACCAACCAGCCAGCAUUCAUUGAGCACCAUCUAUGUCCUGGGCACUGCUAGGGGAUGGUGAUAACAGGGAGAAGACUCUGUCCCUGCCUUCCAAUUGUGUAGAGGAAGACAUCCCCCUACAUGAUGGGUGAGACAUAGCAGAAGUGAGUAGGGGAUGAGGUGGGGGCUCAGAGGAGGGCAUGGUCAGCCUGUCUGGGAGGGAGUUGCAUGUGUGCAUCUGAGGUAGGGACAGGCAUGCAUCUUACAGGAUGAAUAUCGAGCAGAGUUACAGAGAGGGGGAAACUCCUUGAGGUUUCAGGAAUCACCUAAUCCACUGUGACUCACAAAUUCCUGCCUCUUGGCUUUGCCUGCAGCAUAUCUCCUGGAAGUGUGCUGGGGCAAAACUCAUCCCAGACCACCAUCUCCAUCCUCCCCCAAUACACCCUGGCUCUCCCUGGCUACCCUUGAGCACGGUGCACGUGUGCAUGGGUGCAUGCCUGCAUAUAUAGCUAUCCCCCAUGUAUUUCCCAAAGCCCUACAUAAUGCUUCAGUUUGCUAAGGAAAAAAUGUUAAUUACUGCAAAUGUGUUUAAAACUGUAAAAGUACAUUAAACAAACUCUGUAAAGUGUGAAA